CUUCUUAUCCCUGAAGCUCGGUCCUAUCAUCUUCCCCAGAGCAGUACAAAACCGUGGUCUUUCUUUUCCCAUCGGUUCCUCUUCGUCUCCCCACCAGAGUUUCUUGCAAGAGAAACUGACCCCAUUUAUUCUACGUCCUCAUCUUGGAUUUGCUCUCUCUUUUAAGCAGCGGAGCUGAUCCAUUCCGAUCCACCGUAGCGCUGCUUGGUGUACCACGCAUGUCAGACGAGAUAAACCUGCCUCACCAUUGUCGUUGGGCCGCCUUCGCUGCAUGCUAAUCUGCAUCCACGGCCGGCGGGUACAGCUUCCUCGCUUAUCAUCCAUCUUUGGUCCCCUAGCCUGUUGAUGCAUUCAUUAAUCUCCGAUGUUAGCAUGGAUUCUAGCCUCCUACCCAUCCAAUAGUUCAGGUACCAGAUUCAAGAUGUGUAGAUAUUGAUGGAGGAAGCAAUUAUGUUUUUCCUCCGCACUUAUUUGACUACAACAUCAGAUAACACUGUCUCUUUCUGUUGCAACAAUUAAAAGAUUCAGGAUAGGCUAUUGUUCAUGUUCUUUCGAAGUCAAAGUUGGAUGAUAUAAGAGUUUCCGGAAUGAUGCAUAAGCUCAUCUUUAUCUUCCGGUUCCAUUUCCUUUCCUCUGUCAGCUUUGAUGUAUAUCUGUUCUGGAUAACAAGAAUUAUGUGGAAUUCUACAGUUAAUCAUAUGUUGUUUGCAGACAGCCCAUCGCCACAGAUUUAGGCAAAUUAAAUUACCAUGUAUGUUCUCCACAUUUUCCUAUAACAGUUUAUAUCGUAUGGGGCUGGAACAUAGCAUGACUGAUUUCCUUCUGUUUGAUCGCCCAAGGCUCGCCCCAUCAAGGAAAUACUACUAUUCAGAGCUGGAUUUCUUUUCAGAUCACCAAUUCAGAGCCAUGUACAACUCUAAUAUGUCAUAUCACCAGUUGCACGUUUUAGAAAGCUGAACAGAAGUUUACUGGAACGGAAGUACGGAUUCCACCAUGCAUCAUGGCGAUUAGACGUCUAUGUCUCUGUCUCUGAAUUAUUAAGUACAACUGAGAUGAAUCAAGCUUUUCCAUAUUCGAGAAUCCUAAGUUGCUGAACGUCAGACCAUGGAACAUGCAAGAUAUUCUAUUCCCCCUCCAUUAGCAGAGCAGGCUGUUUUGCCGGCUAAUUUUACUGGAAAAGAAAAAUAGCUCAGCUGGGAGCUAGAUUGUGGCAUCUAUUUUGUACCAGCAGUUGCGACAUCAGUUCUCUUUACAUGCUUAACAUGCAAUUUCUCACUUCAUUGAUCUCUCGGUGGUACUUCUUAGCAAUAUGCUCAUAAUUUUUAACAAAUGUUCUCAUUGUUUACAUAUUGGACAGCUAUUCUUUUUCUCGCAUUCUUCUUUUAACCAUAGUGAUCCUAUAUGUAGACAAGGUAGGCUCCACUUAAUAUCUUACAAUUUAAAUAUUGCCAUUUCCGUUUCCUUAUUCAUAAAUUACUUCCACUGACCUAUCUACUUCUCACUUGGGCGGUGUUUGAGUUCCAGCAUAACUGGAAUUUGGUAUUUUCAGUUAGUCAUAUUUUACAAAUAUUUAUAUUUCAAUUUCCUUAUUCAUAAAUUGUGUAUCUAGACUACUAUUCACCAAUCACUCGAACUGUACUUAAUUUCCAUCAUAAUUUGAAUGUUUAUUUUCAGUCACACAUCAGUGCUAUAGAUGAACUAUGUGGAGCUUCGCCUAUGGUUACCGUCUGCCAAGUUCCCAUACAAAGAUAUUGUGGUUGUUUGCACAAGUAAACUUAUUGAGAGUGCAAUCUUCUUAUUUGUAUGUGCACUGUUAAUAUGUGUGAACACCAUUCAUUUUUCGUUUAUUCACAUAUUGACUAAUCAUCUUAUAUUGUAUUGUCCAGUUAUAUUUCUAAAUUUUCUUCUUUAAACGUUCGUUCCCAAUAUUAUCCACGGCUGACCGCCGCAACGUGCGGGGUAUCAUCUAGUUUCUCUAGACAUGCAACCAUGCCACCUCAUCGGGCCCACCACUAAGCUAUUGCUCUAGGCACUUUUUUUUUGUUCCUUUUCUUUGAGAAAUUUCGGUGCAGUCAUGGCUCCUUGCGUGUAGUCAUGGCUCCUGAGAUUAAUACGCCCUACAAUCAUAAUGCCCAUUACGAUGGCUCACAGCCAACCCACAAUUGUUUCUCCUCUCCACCGACUACCGUCUCCUUUCAAUCAGUCCACGUUACCUCUUCCUCUCCCCUCGCGAGAAACACCCGAAGUGGGAAUUGAUGCAGGUAUAUGAGAGGUUUGCGCAGGAUCGCCCUUCCCCCUAUAAAUUCUAUGACGUGCCUCGAUUGUUUGCAUCGCUCUCCCCGCUAUAAAUUCUAUGAUAUGCCUCGAUUGUCUGCAUCGAUUCCUCUCCUCUCGCAGUCCAGAACGACACCCGUGGAACUCAUCAUGAUCCGCCAUGGCUGCUACAAGGUUAGCGGCCGCUACGGAGUCCUGACACGAUGAGGAGAAGAAUGGUGACAGCAGGGGAGCCAAGACUCAUCAUCUGUAUCCCCUACACGCAAGUGAAUUUUGGGGGCCAACACUCAUCCGUAUCUCCAGUACAUAGGUUAUACUGAUGUAUGCUCUGUGACAUUGAUGUUACGAACUUGCAAACUGAGAUUGCAUUAGAGUACUACCUUCAUUCAGGCUUUUCACUCCAAGGUCGCAAAUGGAAUUCUCCAUAUUCCUUACUCAGAUUCAGGUUAUCUCAAGCCAGUUAAGCCAUACAUUUUGUGAUUUGUUACUAUCUAUUUUGUCACAGCUUUUUUAGCAACUGGAUAUUGGAUCUAAUUUCUAUCGGUUCUUCAAUUUGCAUCGGUAAAUCUCUGGACGCUUAUAUUUCCCAAGGGAAGUUGAACACGUUCUCUAAAGUGGCAUAUAAGGCUCUUUUUCAGGCCACAUAUAUGAUAAUACUUGAUUGUUGAUGUAUCAGCCUGCAAAAGAAGGAUGCUACAGGUUACUGAAUUUAUUUAAUUUUCUGCUGAUACAACAACAAGAUUGUCAAACCAGGGAGCAAAGAAGGAAAUCUAUUUGUGUCAUACUUUGGGUACUAAGCUGGUGCUGAGACAAUAUAUGCAUGUCGUAAUCUGAAAGGGAAUGAACUUGAGUUCAAAUAUCUAAAGAAUGGCCAAGGUCAUCUCAAAAUAGUUCCAGCCGCCUCGAACAUGUAAUCUGAAUUGUUUUUCCUAUAUUUUGUCGGAUCCAUCAGGUCGCUUUGCUUCAACCAUGCCAUCAUGAGUGGUAAAUUGGCAUCAGUAGUUCAGAACUGACAUACCAGUUUCAGGCUUUCAGCAUGCUUCUCUCCAUGGGGUAGAGUUUGAACGCCUUGAUAAUAAAAAUUACAGUUGGCGUAGCCUUCUCUUGCCUGGUACUACUUUUAUUUGGACGACUUUGUAAAUUUUCUUGGCGAUCAAGAUAUAUGAUGUGAUGCCCAAAAUGCAUUUGCAUCCAUGAAAACGAACUAUGUAGAAAAAGAUAGAUGUCCUACAUUUAUGCGUGCAAAAACAGUUACCUUACAUUAUUUGCAUUACUAGGAUUAUUUUUUCCAUCACUACAAUGAUACUCAACAGGUCAGCGUGGAUGGACUGGUUGAAGAGUCUAGAUGAUGUCAUUCUUUGAUCAAUAUUAUGACACAUGUUUAUUUAGUACAGGUGUUAGCUAAUUGUCCAUCAUACAGGAGUAUACAGCUAGCUAU